rnacentral:rRNA from 1 species
ACACGGUAGGAUGCGAGCGUUAUUCGGAUUUACUGGGCGUAAAGCGCGUGUAGGCGGUUAGGAGAGUUGGAUGUGAAAGCUCCUGGCUUAACUGGGAGGGGUCGUUCAAGACAUUCUAACUAGAGUUUGGUAGAGGAAAAUGGAAUUCCGGGUGUAGUGGUGAAAUGCGUAGAUAUCCGGAGGAACACCAGUGGCGAAAGCGAUUUUCUGGACCGAUACUGACGCUCAGACGCGAAAGCUAGGGUAGC